GUGCCAGCCGCCGCGGUAAUACGUAGGGUGCAAGCGUUGUUCGGAAUCACUGGGCGUAAAGAGAGCGUAGGCGGGAUCGUAAGUUAGAAGUUUAAUACAUGGGCUUAACCCGUGGUCGGCUUUUAAUACUGCGGUUCUUGAGUGUGGGAGAGGGCGAUGGAAUUCCAGGUGUAGCGGUGGAAUGCGUAGAUAUCUGGAAGAACACCAGUAGCGAAGGCGGUCGCCUGGCCUAACACUGACGCUGAGGCUCGAAAGCUAGGGGAGCAAACAGGAUUAGAAACCCUUGUAGUCC
rnacentral:rRNA from 1 species